rnacentral:misc_RNA from 1 species
AGCAGCCGCGGUAAUUCCAGCUCCAAUAGCGUAUAUUAAAGCUGUUGCAGUUAAAAGCUCGUAGUUGAAUUUCGGGAUUGACACAUCGGUCGUGCCUUAAGGGGUAUGAACUGGUGUAGUCAAUUUCUCACCUUCUGGAGAACCGCGAUGCCCUUAAUUGGGUGUCGCGGGGAACCAGGACCUUUACUUUGAAAAAUUAGAGUGUUUAAAGCAGGCAUUUUGCUUGAAUACAUUAGCAUGGAAUAAUAAAAUAGGACGGCAUGAUUCUAUUUUGUUGGUUUCUAGGAUCACCGUAAUGAUUAAUAGGGAUAGUUGGGGGCAUUAGUAUUCAAUUGUCAGAGGUGAAAUUCUUGGAUUUAUUGAAGACUAACUACUGCGAAAGCAUUUGCCAAGGAUGUUUUCAUUAAUCAAGAACGAAAGUUAGGGAUCGAAGACGAUCAGAUACCGUCGUAGUCUUAACCAUAAACUAUGCCGACUAGGAAUCAGACGAUGUUAAUUUUUUAAUGUACUUCGUUUGGCU